CUAGCCGUAAACGAUGGAUACUAGGUGUGGGUGUCGCAGGGCAUCCGUGCCGCAGCUAACGCGUUAAGUAUCCCGCCUGGGGACUACGGUCGCAAGACUGAAACUCAAAGGAAUUGACGGGGGCCCGCACAAGCGGUGGAGCACGUGGUUUAAUUCGAUGCAAACCGAAGAACCUUACCUGGGUUUGACAUGCAGGUGGUAGAGAGAAGAGAUUUGAUCGACUCUGCAGUAAUGCAGAGAGCCUGCACAGGUGC
rnacentral:rRNA from 1 species